GUUGGACCUUUUUUUGUUCUACAAUGACUUUAUCGUUUUGUAUACAAAGCUAAUGGAUUUUUCUUCGGUGGUUUGUUGUUAUGUAUCAUUUUGCUCGAACAAUCCGUUUUUUCAUUUCCAUGUUGCUCAUUGUUUUCUAUCUGCUUGACUCGAUACAUUAGUCUACCUCAUUGUCAAUCCUGCUUUGCACCCUGAUUUGUUUUUUUUAGAAUCCUAUGUUUCAUACACCCUCUUCAUGUUUUGUAUUAUGUUGCAUGUUGGUCGAGAAUGACAAAGAAGCCGACAAAGAUGAUUACUGAAGAACGACAGUGAACGGUAUGUUUUCGUAUACCCAGCUUUUCUAUCUUUCUCUUUGGAUUGUUGUCAUGAUCAAUUUUUGUGGGCUUUUGUUGUGUGUUGAUCUUGCGUGGUUUGCAAUGUUUUUCUUCUGAAUGAGUUGCGAGAAAAAAAAAUGUACAUUGCCAGGGCUUACGUGUCGUGAUACCAGCGCUUCUCAUUCCCGCCCAAAAAUGUCUUCUCCGUUGCCAUUAAUGCUUUUGUCGUUUUUUCUAGGUAACCCUUCAGUUACCGAUGCGCCUUUCGUUUCCACCAACGCUACACUUAUUGUUUUGUCUUUUCGAGUUGGGCUUGGCUCUGCAGUGUUGAUGCCUUUGCAUUUUUCCGAUUUUAUCAUGAGUUUGUUUUGUUGUAUACGAAGCUUUUCGAUUUUCUUGGGUGAUUUUUUUUAUAUACCAUUUUGCUCGGGCUUUGUUGGGUUUUGAUGUUGCAUGUGCAUUAUUUACUACAUUUUUGUGGUUUUUUGAUUCAUAGCAACAACAAAGUUUACAUCUUUCUUCAUUUUUUAUGAUUAGUACAAAAGGUUCGACCUUUUUUUGUUGGGUUUUCAUGUUGCAUGUGCAUCAUUUACUACCUUUCUGUGGUUUUUUGAUUCAUCGCAACAAGAAAGCUUCAACCUUUGUUCAUUUUUAUGAUUAAAGUACAAAAGGUUGGACCUUUUUUUGUUCUACAAUGACUUUAUCGUUUUGUAUACGAAGCUAAUGGAUUUUUCUUCGAUGGUUUGUUGUUAUGUAUCAUUUUGCUCGAACAAUUCGUUUUUUCAUUUCCAUGUUGCUCAUUGUUUUCUAUCUGCUUGACUCGAUACAUUAGUCAACCUCAUUGUCAAUCCUGCUUUGCACCCUGAUUUUUUUUUUUAGAAUCCUAUGUUUCAUACACCCUCUUCAUGUUUUGUAUUAUGUUGUAUGUUGGUCGAGAAUGACAAAGAAGCCGACAAAGAUGAUUCCUGAAGAACGACAGCGAACGGUGUGUUUUCGUAUACCCAGCUUUUCUAUCUUUCUCUUUGGAUUGUUGUCAUGAUCAAUUUUUGUGGGCUUUUGUUGUGUGUUGAUCUUGCGUGGUUUGCAAUGUUUUUCUUCUGAAUGAGUUGCGAGAAAAAAAAAUGUACAUAACUUCUUUUUUAUUUCCAUGAUGUCCAUUGGUUUCAUGUGUUUCAUUUGGUUAUAUAUGUUUAUAUAUUUAUAUAUCAUUAUCUAUCAUCUUCAUCUAUCAUGAUACAAACAAGGCCCUCACAAUGCCAAUGUAGUUUAUCUUUUCCUAUACCUUUCUUUUCGAUUUUUGAUGGGUUAAUUUUGUCUGUCACCCAUUGUUGCCGCUGUAUGUGCAUCCUUUAUAAAUUCCAUUUUCCAGUUUGAAAGUGUUAAUUUCGUUUUCCGAUGUAUAUCGGUGUAUGCAUUUUUGUUAGGAUAUAUGAGUUUUCGUUAAUUUACCUUUUCAUGUUACAUCUGCAUCAUGAAUACCUUUUUAGCAACUCAUUACAUACACGUUUUUAUUUGGUUGCAUGAUAUGGUCGAGAACAACAAAGAAGGCAAAAACGAUAAGUGAAGCACAAUAAAGGCCGUUAUUGCUGUCGCACAAACCUAACUACAGGCAAACGGUUUCAAUUGUAUUUCAUCUUGGUUUUCUGAUGUAUUGCAAGACACAAGCUUACAUUUUUAAAGACCUUCGAUCUCCAUGUUUGCAAUGUUUGCGUUCUGAGCGACUUGCGAGGUUGCAGGUUGCGAAGUAGGACAGUCACAUCCAAUUUAAAGCUUCAUAUCAAUGCUGACUUGGUUUUCAAGGGCCCAUCAAAUAUGAUGGCAAGAACACGAUUUACAGC